UACGUAGGGGGCUAGCGUUGUCCGGAAUCAUUGGGCGUAAAGAGCGUGUAGGCGGUCCGAUAAGUCGGCUGUGAAAGUCAGGGGCUCAACCCUUGAAAGCCGGCCGAUACUGUCGGACUAGAGUCCGGAAGAGGCAAGUGGAAUUCCCGGUGUAGCGGUGAAAUGCGCAGAUAUCGGGAGGAACACCAAUGGCGAAGGCAGCUUGCUGGGACGGUACUGACGCUGAGGCGCGAAAGCGUGGGGAGCAAACAGG
rnacentral:rRNA from 1 species